GUGAACGCUGGCGGUAGGCCUAACACAUGCAAGUCGAACGGCAGCACAGUAAGAGCUUGCUCUUACGGGUGGCGAGUGGCGGACGGGUGAGGAAUACAUCGGAAUCUACUUUUUCGUGGGGGAUAACGUAGGGAAACUUACGCUAAUACCGCAUACGACCUACGGGUGAAAGCAGGGGAUCUUCGGACCUUGCGCGAUUGAAUGAGCCGAUGUCGGAUUAGCUGGUUGGCGGGGUAAAGGCCCACCAAGGCGACGAUCCGUAGCUGGUCUGAGAGGAUGAUCAGCCACACUGCAACUGAGACACGGUCCAGACUCCUACGGGAGGCAGCAGUGGGGAAUAUUGGACAAUGGGCGCAAGCCUGAUCCAGCCAUACCGCGUGGGUGAAGAAGGCCUUCGGGUUGUAAAGCCCUUUUGUUGGGAAAGAAAAGCAGCAGGUUAAUACCCCGCUGUUCUGACGGUACCCAAAGAAUAAGCACCGGCUAACUUCGUG
rnacentral:rRNA from 1 species